AGUCACAUUACUGUUGUCUGACGAAAACAGAUUCUCUCCUGGCUAACGUUUCUGAUCACAUAUUUAAUCAGGUCAAUAGAAUCAAAAGCUGUAUCAGUUUGGUUGGUAGUAUCGCGAGCAUGUAUAUGGUGUUUUGCUAUCCAAUAAUUAAUUUACUUCUUUUUUCUUAUAUUAUUUUAUUCACGUUUUAUUUUUAUAUGAGCGUUCAUUUCCCUCUCUCGUGCACGCGACACGACUUGAAUUUAUACAAUAUUAUCACUUUCAUAUGCAUGUGGUUUUAUUUGUAGUGAGACCAAACUUUAUUUGAUUUCUGGAGAGUAGGCUAUAAAUGUCAGGUUCAUAAACAAUUAUGACAGAUGAAAUUCCAAUAGUUGAUCUAUCAAAAUGUGGACUUCAGGUUGAUGAUGCAGAAAUAUGUGAUGAAACCAUCCAUGAUGUGGGGAAGAUCUUAUACCGCGCAUUCACGACAUCCGGAUUCGUCUACUUGUCAAAUCACGGAUUACCAAGUGAAUCGAUUGAUGGAGUAAACAAAGUCGCAGAGGAAUUUUACUCACUUCCUUUAGAAGAGAAAAGAAAAUUUUACCUUAAAAAAUUUGAAUUUGGAUAUGAUCCAGUCGGAAGCGGAAAGUAAGCAUUGGCAAUUCGCCAUUUGGUGAAGUUCUCAAAAUAUACAUGUUGUGGUGCAUUAACUAAUCGUUAACAAAGUUUUUGUUUGAUGAACAAAAUAGCUGGAGUUCGAAUAUUUGAUAUUAACGAUUUUCAUCUAUUUUUCAACAUGGCUAACCCAAAACGAGAGUUCGAUUACUACGAAGGAUUUCGUAUCGCUGGUUCCGCCAUGGAAGACGAAAGUACACCCUGGCCCAAUGUUCCAAAGUUUAAAGAAAAGCUUUUAGCAUUAGCUGAUAUAUGUAAAAUACUCGAGAUGAGACUGUUAAAAGCUCUCGGAAGUGCAAUGCGAUUAAAAGAUCCUGAAUAUUUUUGUAAAUGCCAUUUGCUGAUGAAUAAAAAGGGAAAUAUGACAACGAUAAAAGUUGUGAGUUAUCCGCCAGUUCCCACCUAUGAUACUCUAAAAGAAAACCAAUUCCGUAUAGC